AGACUGUCCUGCACGAGGGAAAAUGCCCCUGUCCGAGAUUCCUCUGGAAAGCAGCACAUCAACAAAUGUCUCAUGUGUGCUGAGAAGUUCAAAAAGGAAGCCCAAAGAGGAGGUCAGUCUGGUGGAACUGCCCAGCGCAACAAACAGUCCACUUCAGAGCGUACAAACCAGAAGAGCUGCGGUGGUUCGGGGUCACAGCAGAGUGUUAAUGAGAGACGUCCCACAUCAA